rnacentral:tRNA from 1 species
UCCCGUGUGGCUCAGUUGGUAGAGCAUGGUGUUUGCAACGCCAGGGUUGUGGAUUCGAUUCCCACGAGGGAC